rnacentral:rRNA from 1 species
CAGUAGCCGCGGGAACACGAAGGGUGCAAGCGUUAAUCGGAAUUACUGGGCGUAAAGCGUGCGUAGGCGGUGAGUUAAGUCUGCUGUGAAAUCCCCGGGCUCAACCUGGGAAUGGCAGUGGAUACUGGCUCGCUAGAGUGUGUCAGAGGAUGGUGGAAUUCCCGGUGUAGCGGUGAAAUGCGUAGAGAUCGGGAGGAACAUCAGUGGCGAAGGCGGCCAUCUGGGACAACACUGACGCUGAGACACGAAAGCGUGGGGAGCAAACAGGAUUAGAUACCCCGGUAGUCCCUGUCUCUUAUAC